rnacentral:rRNA from 1 species
CCACUCUUUGCAGGAGGCAGUUAUGAGACGUGAAGAUGAGUAUCUUGUAAAGAGGGAUAGGAGAAUUGGAGGGCAAGUUUGGUGCCAGCAGCCGCGGUAAUACCGACUCCAAGAGUGUGUAUGAGAGAUGCUGCAGUUAAAAAGUCCGUAGUCAUAGAAGGGCAAAGAGAGAUGCGAGGUCUCACAGUGCGAUGAUGGAGGAGCCGAUGGGGAACAUAGUAUACCAGGGCGAGAGAUGAAAUGCCAAGACCCCUGGUGGACUGAGCGAGGCGAAGGCGAUGUUCUUGUAGGCAUUCGGUGAUCAAGGACGAAGGCUGGAGUAUCGAAAGUGAUUAGAUACCGCAGUAGUUCCAGCAGUAAAAGAUGCCGACAUGCUCAUUGGACACAGUGGGCAGGGAGAAAUCUUAGAGUUCGGGCUCUGGGGAUAGUAUGCUCGCAAGGGUGAAAAUUAAAGAAAUUGACGGAGCUACACCACAAGGAGUGGAUUGUGCGGCUUAAUUUGACUCAACGCGAGGAAACUUACCAGGGCCAAGUAUUGUGUAGAAACGAGCAAUACAGGAGUGGUGCAUGGUCGUUGGAAAUUGAUGGGAUGACUUUGACCUUAAAUGGUUGAAUGAGUGAGAUCUUUUGGACAUGUUCCGCACGGAACAGGAAGGAAAAGGCUAUAACAGAUCCGAGAUGCCCUCAGAUGCCCUGGGCUGCACGCGCAAUACAAUAGCAGGUAGAGAGAGAGACAGGAAGGUGCUCAGAUGGACUAUGUGCUGUAAGGCACAUACGAAAGAGGAAUUCCUAGUAAGUGUGUAUCAACAAU